GGUCAUAUGCUCGUCUCAAAGAUUAAGCCAUGCAAGUCUAAGUUCACAUCAUUUCAAGAUGAAACUGCGAAGCGCUCAGUAAACCAGUUAUUGUCCGUUCGAUCGUGUAACAACCAUGGAUAACUGUGGUAAAUCUAGAGCUAAUACAUAGCAAUAUCCCCGCAAGGGGUGCAUUUAUUAGACUAAACCAACUGGCUUCGGCCACUAGGUGAAUCUAGAUAACUGUGCAUAUCGACAUUAAUUUGUCGAUAGUUCGAUCGAAUUUCUGCCCUAUCAACUAGUUGGUAAGGUAGUGGCCUACCAAGGUUAUGACGGGUAACGGGGAAUCAGGGUUCGAUUCCGGAGAGGGAGCCUGAGAAACGGCUACCACAUCUAAGGAAGGCAGCAGGCGCGCAAAUUACCCAAUCCAGACUUUGGGAGGUAGUGACGAGAAAUACCGGAGUAGACCAUAAAAUGGUUCACUAUCGGAAUGAACGUAAUCUAAUACCUUCGAUGAGUAGCUACUGGAGGGCAAGUCUGGUGCCAGCAGCCGCGGUAAUUCCAGCUCCAGUAGUGUAUAUCAAAAUUGUUGCGGUUAAAACGCUCGUAGUUGGAUUACAAAAGCUCUACGGCGGUCAGGUCAAUGUAUUUGGACGUCGUGGGGUUUUUUUAUCGUGAGAGCCGUGUGUGAGAUUAAUUUCUUGUGUACGGUCACUUGCGGAGCGGGCCUUGAAUAAAGCACAGUGCUCAAAGCAGGCGAACGCUCGAAUGUAAUAGCAUGGAACGAAUAUUUUGACCUUGUCAAUUGUUGGUUAUUGACAUGUGUCUCGAUUAAAAGGGACAUUUGAGGGCGUUAGUACUUGGUGGCGAGAGGUGAAAUUCUUAGACCCACCAAAGACUCACUAUUGCGAAAGCAUUCGCCAAGAGUGUUUUCAUUAAUCAAGAACGAAAGUUGGAGGUUCGAAGACGAUCAGAUACCGUCCUAGUUCCAUACAGUAAACGAUGCCAACUUGGGAUCAGUCCGGUGAGAUCUAGGUUGGUCCUUAGGGGAAACCAAGUUUUUCGGCUCUAGGGAGAGUAUGGUCGCAAGGCUGAAAUUUAAAGAAAUUGACGGAAGGGCACCACCAGGAGUGGAGCCUGCGGCUUAAUUUGACUCAACACGGGGCAACUCACCAGGUCCAGACAUUGACAGGAUUGACAGACUGAGAGAUCUUUCAUGAUACGAUGAUUGGUGGUGCAUGGCCGUUCUUAGUUGGUGGAGUGAUCUGUCAGGUUUAUUCCGGUAACGAGCGAGACCACGAUCUCUAAUUGAUUGCGGUCAUCUUGUCUUGACCAAUCUUAGAGAGACAACCGGAGUCAAGCCGGGGGAAGCGUGGCAAUAACAGGUCUGUGAUGCCCUUCUAUGUUCUGGGCUGCACGCGCGCUACAAUGGCAGUGACAACAAGUGCCUACCCUGAAAGGGGCGGGAAAUCUUGAAAAUCGCUGUCGUGAUUGGGAUUGAGCCUUGUAAUAAUUGCUCAUGAAAGAGGAAUUCCUCGUAAGCGCGAGUCAUCAGCUCGUGUUGAAUACGUCUCUGCCCUUUGUACACACCGCCCGUCGCUACUACCGACUGAAUGGCGUUUCGAGGAAUUGGGACCGGAUGCCGAUUAAGGUGUCUGGGAGCUAUUUCAAGGAACGUGAUUUGAAGGAAGUAAAAGUCGUAACAAGGUUUCCGUAGGUGAAC
rnacentral:rRNA from 1 species